rnacentral:rRNA from 1 species
UACAGAGGGGGCAAGCGUUGUUCGGAAUUACUGGGCGUAAAGGGCGCGUAGGCGGCGUGCUAAGUCGAACGUGAAAUCCCCGGGCUCAACCCGGGAACUGCGUCCGAGACUGGCAGGCUUGAAUCCGGGAGAGGGAUGUGGAAUUCCAGGUGUAGCGGUGAAAUGCGUAGAUAUCUGGAGGAACAUCGGUGGCGAAGGCGGCAUCCUGGACCGGUAUUGACGCUGAGGCGCGAAAGCUAGGGGAGCAAACAGG